GGGGUUCUUUAAAGGUCUUUGACGUUAUUUUUUAUUCGUUAUAAGUAUAUUAUUAAAAAAAAAGUUCUAAUUCUUCAUUGUGUUCACAUUACUUUACUCAUAAAGUUAUUGGGUUGUUUAGGGUUUUGUGAGUUUGUUAACUUGAAUGAUGGUAAGAUUGAUUUUUUUUUUCAAAUUCUUUUCAUGGCCUUCCCUAUUUUUCAAUGUCCAUGCAAACCAUACAUAGUGUGUUGAUUUAGGAGGGUGAAAAAUGAGGUAACAAUUUUUUAGCAUCUACUUGUGGUAUUGUUAAUUUUUAUUUUCUUCCAUUUUAGGCUCUUUCUUUUUCUUACAUUUUUUAAAUUAUUUUAUUAAUAUUUUCAUUGAAAAAAAAGAGAAAAUUCUGCAGAUCAAGUACCAAUAAUAAGAAAUAGUUAUCCAAGAUAUGCAUAUCACCCAAAUUCAUUCCAUUUGCACGCUCCUGAAGAAUGCCCAAAAUGAAUACAUAAAUAAACAUGAAUCAAUGAAAUUUGAUUAUUCAAUAUGUUAUGAGAUUCUAAAAGACGUCGGAAUAUUUGAGUACAAGUCUCAAAAAUAAAAUUUAAAAAGCAAACUUAUUUUAGAUAGUUUAAUCAAUAAAUAGUCCAUGACAUUUUUAUACCUGCAUUUAAUGAUUCACAAGUUGAAUUGUUUUUCAAGUUGGCUAAUAUUUCUAUCUUGAAUAAAAACAUAUUCUCAUGGUGUGAAUUGACAAUUAAAAAUUUAUUGAUGAUGUGUUCAUGAUAAAUAAUAUUUUCAU
rnacentral:lncRNA from 1 species